rnacentral:rRNA from 1 species
UACGUAGGUGGCAAGCGUUGUCCGGAUUUACUGGGCGUAAAGAGCGCGCAGGCGGUCGUUCAAGUCGCGUGUGAAAGCCCCCGGCUCAACUGGGGAGGGUCACGCGAUACUGAUCGACUCGAAGGCAGGAGAGGGUAGUGGAAUUCCCGGUGUAGUGGUGAAAUGCGUAGAUAUCAGGAGGAACACCGGUGGCGAAGGCGGAUCUCUGGGCCUGUUCUGACGCUGAGGCGCGAAAGCUAGGGGAGCGAACAGG